UGGGGAAUUUUGGACAAUGGGCGCAAGCCUGAUCCAGCCAUGCCGCGUGCAGGAUGAAGGCCUUCGGGUUGUAAACUGCUUUUGUACGGAACGAAAAGGUGCCUUCUAAUAAAGGGCGCUCAUGACGGUACCGUAAGAAUAAGCACCGGCUAACUACGUGCCAGCAGCCGCGGUAAUACGUAGGGUGCGAGCGUUAAUCGGAAUUACUGGGCGUAAAGCGUGCGCAGGCGGCUUUGUAAGACAGAGGUGAAAUCCCCGGGCUCAACCUGGGAACUGCCUUUGUGACUGCAAGGCUGGAGUGCGGCGGAGGGGGAUGGAAUUCCGCGUGUAGCAGUGAAAUGCGUAGAUAUGCGGAGGAACACCGAUGGCGAAGGCAAUCCCCUGGGCCUGCACUGACGCUCAUGCACGAAAGCGUGGGGAGCAAACA
rnacentral:rRNA from 1 species